ACUCGCUUGGUGAAAUUUGGUAAACACGAUGGAUUUAAAAUUCAUUCUUCAUAGUAGUUAUUGGUUCAAGUCCAAUAGCGAGUA
rnacentral:tRNA from 1 species